AAUUUCUUCUUGACACUCACUUUUGAUUAAUUUAAUGUGUCCUUGCAGAAUAAAAAUAUGAAUUUCUUUUUAAAAAUGUAGUGUACAUUACCAUUUAGAAGUUUGGGGUCUAUAUAACAAUCAAGCUUUAAAAUAAAUAAAUAAACUCUAUGCUGUUAUAAACGAUUUACACAAAAAUAUAAAACAGCUGUUUUUUUUAACAUUCAUAUUUAUCAGAAGUGUUUCUUUGGCAAAAAGUAGCAUAUUAUAAUGAUUUCUGGAGGAUCAUAUGAUGCUAAAGACUAAAGUAAUGAUGCUAAAAAAAUCAGCUUUGAUCAUAGCAAUCAACUGACCCUUCGCAAAACAACCCACCCUCCUUAAAUACUGUUGCUCUGUCUGACAAGCCAUGCUGCUCUCACAGUACACACCUUGUUCUCACACAGCGAAAAAUACAUCGUGGACCAAAGAGGAAACUGAGGACACACUGACAGAAGAAGACAGAGAAGGUCACUUCUGAUCCAUCAAUGUCCUCAUCUUCUGUGUCUGAAUUGAACAGAUGGGCAACAGCUUUUGAACAGCUUUCUUCAUCAAACAUGCCGGGUUCCCUCUCAUCAUGGUUGAUCGCUGCCAGUAUACGUAUUGUACGUAUUACGUCCCUGUGUCAGCGGGAGAUGGUCCGACGGUGGGCCUCGCGUGUGGAGACUUCAGAAGAUGCCAAACCUCACAAAGAUUUCAGAUGAUGGAAACUAUAGAUGAACAUGCAAAGCUGCUAAAUAAUCCUUAUAUUGUAAUCAUUGCCCUAAAAGGUAAGUUUGCAGGCUGAUUUAAGGUGUGCUCCUACAUUUUCUGCUUGUACUCCUAUAUAUUUAUGAUACAAAUGUAAAUGACUGUAAAUGAACAUAAAAAGCUGUUGCAUGCCUUUCUCAUAAGCACUCGCCUGUUAGCAAUGCUAAUUUUAUUUAACAAUGUUAUUACUGAGAUC